CAUGGCUCAGGACGAACGCUGGCGGCGUGCCUAAUACAUGCAAGUCGAGCGGACCGACGGGAGCUUGCUCCCUUAGGUCAGCGGCGGACGGGUGAGUAACACGUGGGUAACCUGCCUGUAAGACUGGGAUAACUCCGGGAAACCGGGGCUAAUACCGGAUGCUUGAUUGAACCGCAUGGUUCAAUCAUAAAAGGUGGCUUUCAGCUACCACUUACAGAUGGACCCGCGGCGCAUUAGCUAGUUGGUGAGGUAACGGCUCACCAAGGCGACGAUGCGUAGCCGACCUGAGAGGGUGAUCGGCCACACUGGGACUGAGACACGGCCCAGACUCCUACGGGAGGCAGCAGUAGGGAAUCUUCCGCAAUGGACGAAAGUCUGACGGAGCAACGCCGCGUGAGUGAUGAAGGUUUUCGGAUCGUAAAACUCUGUUGUUAGGGAAGAACAAGUACCGUUCGAAUAGGGCGGUACCUUGACGGUACCUAACCAGAAAGCCACGGCUAACUACGUGCCAGCAGCCGCGGUAAUACGUAGGUGGCAAGCGUUGUCCGGAAUUAUUGGGCGUAAAGCGCGCGCAGGCGGUUUCUUAAGUCUGAUGUGAAAGCCCCCGGCUCAACCGGGGAGGGUCAUUGGAAACUGGGGAACUUGAGUGCAGAAGAGGAGAGUGGAAUUCCACGUGUAGCGGUGAAAUGCGUAGAGAUGUG
rnacentral:rRNA from 1 species